rnacentral:rRNA from 2 species
GAUCAUGGCUCAGGACGAACGCUGGCGGCGCGCCUAACACAUGCAAGUCGAACGAGAGAGAGGGAGCUUGCUUCCUCAAUCGAGUGGCGAACGGGUGAGUAACGCGUGAGGAACCUGCCUCAAAGAGGGGGACAACAGUUGGAAACGACUGCUAUUACCGCAUAAGCCCACGGCUCGGCAUCGAGCAGAGGGAAAAGGAGUGAUCCGCUUUGAGAUGGCCUCGCGUCCGAUUAGCUAGUUGGUGAGGUAAUGGCCCACCAAGGCGACGAUCGGUAGCCGGACUGAGAGGUUGAACGGCCACAUUGGGACUGAGACACGGCCCAGACUCCUACGGGAGGCAGCAGUGGGGGAUAUUGCACAAUGGGGGAAACCCUGAUGCAGCGACGCCGCGUGGAGGAAGAAGGUCUUCGGAUUGUAAACUCCUGUUGUUGAGGAAGAUAAUGACGGUACUCAACAAGGAAGUGACGGCUAACUACGUGCCAGCAGCCGCGGUAAAACGUAGGUCACAAGCGUUGUCCGGAAUUACUGGGUGUAAAGGGAGCGCAGGCGGGAGAACAAGUUGGAAGUGAAAUCCAUGGGCUCAACCCAUGAACUGCUUUCAAAACUGUUUUUCUUGAGUAGUGCAGAGGUAGGCGGAAUUCCCGGUGUAGCGGUGGAAUGCGUAGAUAUCGGGAGGAACACCAGUGGCGAAGGCGGCCUACUGGGCACCAACUGACGCUGAGGCUCGAAAGUGUGGGUAGCAAACAGGAUUAGAUACCCUGGUAGUCCACACCGUAAACGAUGAUUACUAGGUGUUGGAGGAUUGACCCCUUCAGUGCCGCAGUUAACACAAUAAGUAAUCCACUUGGGGAGUA